AUGCACGCUGGCGGCGUGCCUAAUACAUGCAAGUCGAGCGAACAGACGAGGAGCUUGCUCCUCUGACGUUAGCGGCGGACGGGUGAGUAACACGUGGAUAACCUACCUAUAAGACUGGGAUAACUUCGGGAAACCGGAGCUAAUACCGGAUAAUAUAUUGAACCGCAUGGUUCAAUAGUGAAAGACGGUUUUGCUGUCACUUAUAGGUGGAUCCGCGCCGCAUUAGCUAGUUGGUAAGGUAACGGCUUACCAAGGCAACGAUGCGUAGCCGACCUGAGAGGGUGAUCGGCCACCCUGGAACUGAGACACGGUCCAGACUCCUACGGGAGGCAGCAGUAGGGAAUCUUCCGCAAUGGGCGAAAGCCUGACGGAGCAACGCCGCGUGAGUGAUGAAGGUCUUCGGAUCGUAAAACUCUGUUAUUAGGGAAGAACAAAUGUGUAAGUAACUAUGCACGUCUUGACGGUACCUAAUCAGAAAGCCACGGCUAACUACGUG
rnacentral:rRNA from 1 species